rnacentral:rRNA from 1 species
CAAGUCGACCAGAUCUUCGGAUCUAGUGGCGAACGGCGGAGUAAUACAUGAGCAACGUGCCCUUAUGCCUGGGAUAUACAGAGGAAACUCUGGGCAAUACCGGAUGUGGCUAUCUUUCGGCAUCGAGAGAUAACUAAACGGAUUUAUUCGCAUAGGGAGCGGCUCAUGACCCAUCAGGUAGUUGGUAGGGUAAUGGCCUACCAAGCCGACGACGGGUAGCGGGUCUGAGAGGAUGAUCCGCCCGAGUGGGACUGAGACACGGCCCACACACCUACGGGUGGCAGCAGUUGGGAAUCUUGCACAAUGAGGGAAACCUUGAUGCAGCGACGCCGCGUGGACGAUGAAGGGUUUAGGCCUGUAAAGUCCUUUUACCAGGAAAGACUUAGGACGGUACCUGGUGAAUAAGCUCCGGCUAACUACGUGCCAGCAGCCGCGGUAAUACGUAGGGAGCAAGCGUUGUCCGGAUUUACUGGGCGUAAAGGGCGCGUAGGCGGUCUGUUAAGUGUGGUGUGAAAUCUCCAGGGCUCAACCCGGAAACUGCACCGCAUACUGGCAGACUGGAGGAAGGUAGAGGUAAGUAGAAUUCCCGGUGUAACGGUGACAUGUGUAGAUAUCGGGAGGAAUACCAAUAGCGAAGGCAGCUUACUGGGCCUUUCCUGACGCUGAGGCGCGAAAGCGUGGGUAGCAAACAGAAUUAGAUACUCUGGUAGUCCACGCCCUAAACGAUGGAUACUAGGCGUCAAGGGUAUCGACCCCCUUGGUGCCGCAGCUAACGCAUUAGUAUCCCGCCUGGGGAGUACGACCGCAAGGUUGAAACUCAAAUGAAUUGACGG